UACAGAGGUCUCAAGCGUUGUUCGGAAUUACUGGGCGUAAAGGGCUCGUAGGCGGCCAACUAAGUCGGACGUGAAAUCCCUCGGCUUAACCGGGGAACUGCGUCUGAUACUGGAUGGCUUGAGAUUGGGAGAGGGAUGCGGAAUUCCAGGUGUAGCGGUGAAAUGCGUAGAUAUCUGGAGGAACACCGGUGGCGAAGGCGGCAUCCUGGACCAACACUGACACUGAGGAGCGAAAGCCAGGGGAGCAAACGGG
rnacentral:rRNA from 1 species